GCCUCCAUGGUCCAGUUGGUUAUCACCCUUCUCGUGAGAGACGUCUCAUGGGGGAGGUCGAGGGUUCGAAUCCCUUUGGAGGUG